ACUUAGAGCUGGCUGCAGGGAGAAAGGAUGGAGCCCCAUGAAGAGAGAAGCGGAGACGAGAGACAGAGAAGUUUCAUGUGGCUCUGAGGCCCAGCCAUUUCCUGCUGUCCUGUGUUUCAUCAUCCUGCUGCCUUCUGGAUUCUGUGAGCGAAGAGAGCCUCUUUGGGCCCCAGCAAUGUGGAGUUUGGUUUCUAUCACUGACAACGGAUUUAUGGCUUAGAGGAAGAAACAGCUUGGGGGCUUCUGCACCUUGUCCAAGGUCCCGCAGAGCAGAGCAGAGCAGAGCAGAGCAGAGUUGGAAUUGGAAUUCUGGUGCUCGGUGCCAGCAUCGGAAGCUACUCAGGAAAGAGCCACGAGGUGCGGACGAGGGCAAAGAAAUGAGGAGACAGGUGGGAGGCUACAGAUUGCAGCUGCUGGUGACGUAGCAUCCUGGCACCCCCACUAUAUUUUCAUCUUGGAUGGUGC